GAUGAACGCUGGCGGCGUGCUUAACACAUGCAAGUCGAACGAGAAGUGGAGACGGAAACCUUCGGGCGGAAGACUUUAUUUCGAGUGGCGGACGGGUGAGUAACGCGUGGGUAACCUGCCUCAUACAGGGGGAUAACAGUUGGAAACGACUGUUAAUACCGCAUAAGACCACAGCACCGCAUGGUGCGGUGGUAAAAACUCGGGUGGUAUGAGAUGGACCCGCGUUCGAUUAGCCCGUUGGCGGGGUAACGGCCCACCAAAGCGACGAUCGAUAGCCGACCUGAGAGGAUGACCAGCCACAUUGGGACUGAGACACGGCCCAGACUCCUACGGGAGGCAGCAGUGGGGAAUAUUGCACAAUGGGGGAAACGCUGAUGCAGCGACGCCGCGUGAGUGAAGAAGUAUUUCGGUAUGUAAAGCUCUAUCAGCAGGGAAGAAAAUGACGGUACCUGAGGAAGAAGCCCCGGCUAACUACGUG
rnacentral:rRNA from 1 species